CAGCAGCCACGGGAAUACGUAGGUGGCAAGCGUUGUCCGGAAUUAUUGGGCGUAAAGGGCUCGCAGGCGGUUUCUUACGUCUGAUGUGAAAGCCCCCGGCUCAACCGGGGAGGGUCAUUGGAAACUGGGAAACUUGAGUGCAGAAGAGGAGAGUGGAAUUCCACGUGUAGCGGUGAAAUGCGUAGGGAUGUGGAGGAACACCAGUGGCGAAGGCGACUCUCUGGUCUGUAACUGACGCUGAGGAGCGAAAGCGUGGGGAGCGAACAGGAUUAGAUACCCCCGUAGUCCCUGUCUCUUAUAU
rnacentral:rRNA from 1 species